rnacentral:lncRNA from 1 species
UUAAGGCAACAGUUCCCUUCAAAAUGUCAGACAGCGUGAGUUUUACUGAGAUGGAAGUUCAAAAUAUUUCUUUCAACGAAAUCAACAAGGUUUUGCCGGGAAUUCUUGAGCAAAAUUCUGCUUCCACCAAACACUUGGAAGAACUCUGAAAGAAUUUACCUACCAUGAAAACCUUGAAAAACCAACGCAAACAUCUGAAAAACGUACAAAAAGCUGCUUCUGAUGAAAAGGAUAAACUGAUGAAGAAGGUAGAACAGCUUAGAAAAGCCAUGAAGAAGCAAAUCCGGGUGGAAGAGGAGUGUGAGGGAGAAAGACAAAAAAUCCGAGAGGUCUUUGAAAGCUCCAGAACUCUGACAGAAGAAAUGACAGCUCUGCAGUCCAAACUAAGGCCACUCAAAGAAGUAGAAGCAGAACUUUCUAACUUAAAGUUUGCAAGAAGGAGCUUGGAAUCAGAGAACACAGCUCUAAAAGCAGAACUCCCCAAACUCCAGAAGAAAAUGGACCGCAAAGAACAGAUGGCAAAGAUAUAUAAACAUGGAUUUGAUCAGUUCCACACUCUGGAAAAGCAAACUGCGGCACUUAGGCAAAGCCGUGAAGAGCUACUGAAACGACUGAAUGAACAUGAGAACAUGAUGAAGAUUUAUCCCAAAAUGAUAGCAGAAAGAUGCCUGCUAGAACAGCGGAACAGGAGACUGGAGGAGGAGAUUUCCCAACUUAGAGUGCAGGAAGAUGAAGCAAGACCGCCGCCUUUUUACUUUAAGGGUCUAAAGGAUGAAAUGUAUUCUCUCCGAGUAGAAACCAGAAAUCUCACAGUGGAAAUAAACAAAAUGAUGGAUCUUCUAAAACAGCGAGAAAUGUUGGAAUCCGAAUGCUAUAAAAUUAACGCAGAAACCGUGACCUUGAACCAAAUCAAGAUGGAUCUGAUCCAGGAAGUGGAAAAACUGAAACGCAAGGAUUCAGGUCAUGUGGAGAAAAAGCUUCAAGCUGUGAAGCAGGAAGAGGAGACUUUGAUGAAAGAGAUCAGAAACUUGAGGAAACACUUUCAAGCUCUCCAGGAGAAGCAAAAGGGGCAGCAGCAGAAGGACAAAGAGCUGGGAAUCCAAUUGAACCAGGAACAAUUAGAUUCACUGAAACAGGAGACUGAAGACCUAGAAAAAGAAAAGAAAAAACUGACAGACAUGAUCCAAC